UUCCUCAGCAGGUCACUCGCCCUUCUUUGUCCAACACCGUUUGAACAAUCGAGACCUUUCAACAAGCUCCAUUCCUGCACCCCUCUCACCCCCAACACCCAGAACAAGAAGAAGGAGUCUGCUUCCAAACACUGCAGCAUUCAAACCAGUCCCUGAAGUCCACACCUUACUGUCCUCAUUAUCAGCACCAGGACACCUAAGGAUUCCUUGCCUUCAACAGGUGAGAGCCAUUGUAUGUCUGCUACUGUUCCCUGAUCUGUAUACCAGCUUUCAUGCUGAUGAUCUUGAU
ensembl:lncRNA